GUGAUCCAGGCCCCACCACUGCUCCUCACAAGAGGGAGGUACAAAGAGGGUGCAGACGUGGCCCUCAGGCCAGCGCUGGUUAUCGCGGCUUGGUCACAAAUGCAGACUCACAGGGCCCUCCUCAGCCCUGCCCUGCAGAACCCCAAGCUCCCCGGAUGCAAAGCCCAUUAGGUUUGGGAAGCCCAGUUGGCUGGGUGGCUGCCACCCUGGCUGGAGAAUGCAGUUCCCUGCAGACUUCUACCAAAUCCUGGGUCCCCCUGUUGGGGCCCUGAGUCCACGUGUCCGCGGACUCCUACAGCACCUCAGAAGGCACUGCAGGAGGGACAGGACGGCUGCGGGGGGCACCAGGAGGUGCCACUAGCGAGGCACCCGGGAGGCACCGCAGGGAAGGAAAUAGAAGUGCAGAGUUGUUGAGAAACUUCCUCAAGAUCACACUGCGAGGGAGGGACAAAGCCUGAAUUUAAAAACUGGUUUUCCAGCUACCAGACCCGGUCCUGAGGACUCCUCCUGAGGGCUGCGCUGAGCUGCUGAUGCUGUAGAAUGCCCUGGCUGAUGUCCAAGGGAGAGGACUCACCACUCUCCUCACCCAUGACAGCAGCAAUGCUUUCCUUCCUGCCUGCCUUUACUUAUUUUGGGGACAUGGGUGGAUAUCUAGCCUUUGAAACUUGAUGUUUAUGUGGAGCUAUUUAAAGGGCCUCGGAAAGUGCUGGGUACAGGCCAGCAUGUGAUCCAAGGGUGAUCAGAGCCAGGUGAACAGAAGCUCACUCUGAGCUGGUGAUGGACCCCAGUGGGUUCCCUGCCAGGGGCUCAGCAGCACCCCCUGGGUACCCAGGAGGGAUUUGCAGGCUUUGGCUGGCCUCACAUCUGCAGCCUUGGCUUCCACGUUGCCUGAAACUCGCUGCCCAGCGAGACACCUAGUCCCGUAUUGACCUGUUCUUCCCCUUUACAUCCGCCCACGCCCUCCACAGCUGCCUUUGUCUUCUGUCCCUAACCCUUUCCGUGGGCAGUCCCAGGCGUGGCACUGUCUCCCCAGUGGAGGAGUGCUGGCUAUGGAGGUGUUUGAGGCAGAGGGUCCGAGCUCCACUCUUUCUCCCUGUGCCUUUCCUCCACAUGCAGUGGCUCAGCCUUGGACUUCCAAGUCUCCAGAACAUUAAAACAAAACCUCUGUUCUUUAUAAA